UACGAAGGGGGCUAGCGUUGUUCGGAUUUACUGGGCGUAAAGCGCGCGUAGGCGGGCAUUUAAGUCAGGGGUGAAAUCCCAGGGCUCAACCCUGGAACGGCCUUUGAUACUGGAUGCCUGGAGAUCGGGAGAGGUUGGUGGAAUUCCGAGUGUAGAGGUGAAAUUCGUAGAUAUUUGGAGGAACACCAGAAGCGAAGGCGGCCAACUGGCCCGAUACUGACGCUGAGGAGCGAAAGCGUGGGGAGCGAACAGG
rnacentral:rRNA from 1 species